rnacentral:rRNA from 1 species
UACGUAGGGUGCGAGCGUUAAUCGGAAUUACUGGGCGUAAAGCGUGCGUAGGCGGUUCGUUAAGUCAGCUGUGAAAGCCCCGGGCUCAACCUGGGAACUGCGGUUGAAACUGGCGAACUAGAAUCUGGCAGAGGGGGGGUGGAAUUCCACGUGUAGCAGUGAAAUGCGUAGAGAUGUGGAGGAACACCGAUGGCGAAGGCAGCCCCCUGGGCUGAGAUUGACGCUCAGGCACGAAAGCGUGGGGAGCAAACAGG